CCUACGGGUGGCAGCAGUGAGGAAUAUUGGUCAAUGGCCGGAAGGCUGAACCAGCCAUGCCGCGUGAAGGUCAGUGCCCUAUGGGCGUUAAACUUCUUUUGUGCGGGAGCAACGCCGGCUACGUGUAGCCGGACUGAGAGUACCUGAAGAAAAAGCAUCGGCUAACUCCGUGCCAGCAGCCGCGGUAAUACGGGGGAUGCAAGCGUUAUCCGGAUUUAUUGGGUUUAAAGGGUGCGUAGGCUGUGAGGUAAGUCAGCGGUGAAAUGCCCCCGCUCAACGGGGUGAAGUGCCAUUGAUACUGCCUUGCUGGAAUGCGGAUGCCGUGGGAGGAAUGUGUGGUGUAGCGGUGAAAUGCAUAGAUAUCACACAGAACACCGAUUGCGAAGGCAUCUCACGAAUCCGCGAUUGACGCUGAUGCACGAAAGCGUGGGUAUCAAACAGGAUUAGAUACCCUAGUAGUC
rnacentral:rRNA from 1 species